AGUGCUUUCAAAUUCUGAGCUAUUUCUCUAGGCUCCAAAGCACACUUUCUCAUUUAUUAAAAUAGUUGGAACCACUAGAAUCAUUACUGAAUAUGGUGAGAUCUUUCUUUUGCACUUAAUGCUGGAAAUUAAGUUAUGGUAUUAAAAGGGUUUCCUGAAGAGGCCUGUACCCAAAUGUGUAAGAGGAAAACCGUCCUUGGGGACUGGAGAGACGGCUCAGUGGUUAAGAGCACUGACUGCUCUUCUGAGAGAUCCAGAGUUCAAUUCCCAACAACCACUUGGUGGCUCACAGCCAUGUGUGAUGGGAUCUGAUGCCCUCUUCUGGUGUGUCUGAAGACAAGUUUAUUGUACUGUGCUCAUAUAUAUAAUAAAAAUCUUAAAAAAUAAAAACUGUUCUUGGCAAUUUUCAAAUAGUUCAUGUAUAUAUAUAUAUAUAUAUAUAUAUAUAUAUAUACAUACACACACAUGUAUAUGUAUAUACAUAGACAUAAGCUUUGGUGAUCAUUCCUAUUCAAACUACUACUACUACUACUACUACUACACACACACACACAUACACACACACAAGAUUUGUAUUCUUUUUU
rnacentral:lncRNA from 1 species